AUUCUGCUCCUGGCGUAAAAUCAGGAGCUGUAGCAUCAUUUUUUUCAUCUCCUCAUUUUCUGCAUGGAGUUUUCCGAACUCCUUUUGAAAAUCCAUUGAACUUAAAAUGUCGCCGAUAUAUAGGAGCUACUUUAAAAUAAAUUGUAUAGAACUUAAAUAUAGUCUACUGAGCAAAAUCCAAAUAUCUAGGCUACCGAGAAGCGAGCGGGUGAGUCCUAAGGUGAAGAUGCAUCAAGUGAUCUGAAAUGACGAUUUUCGCCCAUAAUGGUGACCUCCCCAUUAUGACGUAGGGGCGCAGACAGCAGACACCGGUUGCACCAACUCUUUGCUACGACUGCUCCUAACUGCUACGUUGGUCUUUGUUAAGACCAGUCUUUAGAAUUGAAUUUAGGGCGACCACGCCCCCCUUCGGAGGAAACAGCGGUAAAAGUGACUGGAGGCCAAUGUGUGAUGGAGCUUGGAAGUUGCGCCGCCAUAUCUUACUCGAUAAAUAAAUAAAGUUCACAUAAUUAGUU